rnacentral:rRNA from 1 species
AAUAUUUGUCAAUGUGCGGGAGCCUGAACCAGCCAUGCCGCGUGCGGGAUGAAGGCCUUCGGGUUGUAAAGUACUUUUGGCAGAGAAGAAAAGGUAUCUCCUAAUACGAGAUACUGCUGACGGUAUCUGCAUAAUAAGCACCGGCUAACUACGUGCACGCAGCCGCGGUAAUACGUAAGGUGCAAGCGUUAAUCGGAAUUACUGGGCGUAAAGAGUGUGUAGGCGGUUCGGAAAGAAAGAUGUGAAAUCCCAGGGCUCAACCUUGGAACUGCAUUUUUAACUGCCGAGCUAGAGUAUGUCAGAGGGGGGUAGAAUUCCACGUGUAGCAGUGAAAUGCGUAGAUAUGUGGAGGAAUACCGAUGGCGAAGGCAGCCCCCUGGGAUAAUACUGACGCUCAGACACGAAAGCGUGGGGAGCAAACA